UUGGGGAUUCAGUGACCGAAGUGAGGUAAACGUUUUUUUCACAAGUUCCUGUUAAAAGCUACUGGGUAAAAUUGUCAUUAAACACUGAAAGGACCCUCCAAGUUAAUCAUUGUGAAUUCUUCCUGUGCAAAAACGAAUGUGCUUUUCUCUUUGACAAGGCCACUAGAAAACCAAAAAUGCAAUAUAGGAAUACAAGAAGAGUUGAAGGUGGAGUCCAGAAUCAAGAGCCACUCAAAGACCAGACUGACACUCCAUUCUCAUCAGGAACAUGCAGCCUUCUAGGUCAACUCAGCUGAAAAAGAGGGACUCGAGAGCUGGGCUCUUCAUUAGCCGGGAAAUGAUAGACUUCAUCCCAUCGGCAGACACACGGGAGAUGAAGCUACUUAGCUGCAAAGGAGUUGGGAAGUACAGGGAAGCACAUAGAAUAUUUUUGGAGAGGGUGACUCUUUCCACUACAAAAAAUCAACAGUCUAUAUGUUGUGAAUGGUACUGUCAUACGCUGAUCAA